rnacentral:rRNA from 1 species
AUUGAACGCUGGCGGCAUGCUUUACACAUGCAAGUCGAACGGUAACAGGUUAAGCUGACGAGUGGCGAACGGGUGAGUAAUGCAUCGGAACGUGCCCGAUCGUGGGGGAUAACGCAGCGAAAGCUGCGCUAAUACCGCAUACGAUCUGAGGAUGAAAGCGGGGGACCGUAAGGCCUCGCGCGAUCGGAGCGGCCGAUGUCAGAUUAGGUAGUUGGUGGGGUAAAGGCCCACCAAGCCGACGAUCUGUAGCUGGUCUGAGAGGACGACCAGCCACACUGGGACUGGGACACGGCCCAGACUCCUACGGGAGGCAGCAGUGGGGAAUUGUGGACAAUGGGCGAAAGCCUGAUCCAGCAAUGCCGCGUGCAGGAAGAAGGCCUUCGGGUUGUAAACUGCUUUUGUACGGAACGAAACGGUCUGGGUUAAUACCUCGGGCUAAUGACGGUACCGUAAGAAUAAGCACCGGCUAACUACGUGCCAGCCGCCGCCGUAA